AUAUAUCAUGUGUGAUACCAGAAAGUGAGGUUUUCAUUAUCGCCUUUGUAGAAGCCGCCUCUGAUAAACAUCUGAAACGCCUUAGAUUUCCAUUAAUUCCCAUCCUCCCCACUACGCAGCAUUAAAUCAAGCUUGGACUCUUCAUAUGGAAACAGCCAAAACUUUCAUAUAAAUUGGCAUCGUUGCAUAGAUGAAAACGCCAAAUCUACGAGAACUACAAGUAUCAUCUCUUCUAAUUAUCAGCUCCAACAAUGGCGAAUUCCUUCACAGUGCUUGCUGAUUUGAAAGCCGGACGAUGUUCAACCACAGCCAAGUUUCUGUCUUCUUAGGAUUUGAUGGGUGUUGAUAUGCUACUCAUCGACGAGAAUCAACGCUUAUGUAGGGAUCCGUGAGUGUGAACCCUCUCAGCUUCUUCAGGAAGCGUUUCAGUAACAACAAUUUUCGAUUGUCUGAUGCUCCCCUCGCCAUUGAUGGCACUUCAUUUUAAGAGAAUGUACGGAUUCGCCGCGUCUUUGGCCGCUGGUUUGCUGCUCAUGUUUCUGUCUGUGAUCGUAUUUGUCAUCCCCAUCAAGUUUGCGCUGCUCUUCACAUUUGCAAAUGAGAAGCACAGCCUUCCUCGUGGGACCUGAGCAACAGAUAAAUAUGAUGUUCCUAUCUACGCUACCUCUAUCUAUGUUAGAUGCAUCCUUCUUGCACUCAUUUUGCGCUCUCUUGAUCCACAGCAAGAUUUUGACAGUGAUUGCGAUCCUAUGCAAGACUUGUGCACUUAUGUGGUACAACCUCAGUUAUAUUCCAUUUGCGCGAAGAAUAGUCUCUGAAAUAAUGAUCCUGUCUCUGUGAUAACGAGCUAUAGUACACAAACUCGGAUUUUACUGGUCUCGAGAAUUUGAGAUAUGAUUUUUUUUAAAAAAAAUUGUUUGACCUGAUGAGGUGGUUUGCGCAUGAAUCAAAAGUAACAAAACUGGAGUUUCUUUUUUUUUGAGGGCUUGAAACUCUUGCUUGUGUGUACUUCUUCUUGCGUGUGUUUACUUCUAUUUCUUCAAGCUCUUUUGCAGCUUCAGACUUAAACAGUCAGUCACUUGACAUUUGUUUGAUAAGAGAUUACUUAUUCGUAUAAUCCCUCGGAGUUCUCAUUUUA